AUUGAACGCUGGCGGCAGGCCUAACACAUGCAAGUCGAGCGGAUGAAGGGAGCUUGCUCCUGGAUUCAGCGGCGGACGGGUGAGUAAUGCCUAGGAAUCUGCCUGGUAGUGGGGGAUAACGUCCGGAAACGGGCGCUAAUACCGCAUACGUCCUGAGGGAGAAAGUGGUGGAUCUUCGGACCUCACGCUAUCAGAUGAGCCUAGGUCGGAUUAGCUAGUUGGUGAGGUAAAGGCCUACCAAGGCGACGAUCCGUAACUGGUCUGAGAGGAUGAUCAGUCACACUGGAACUGAGACACGGUCCAGACUCCUACGGGAGGCAGCAGUAGGGAAUAUUGGGCAAUGGGCGAAAGCCUGAUCCAGCCAUGCCGCGUGUGUGAAGAAGGUCUUCGGAUUGUAAAGCACUUUAAGUUGGGAGGAAGGGCAGUAAGUUAAUACCUUGCUGUUUUGACGUUACCAACAGAAUAAGCACCGGCUAACUUCGUG
rnacentral:rRNA from 1 species